UAAAACUUUCUUGCUUUUUUUGUUUUUAAUUAUUGUUUGUCUUUAACAUAUACAUAUACACAUGCACUCACACACCUGCGCACUCUCUCACACACAGACACUUAGAACAUGUUUACCAAUAACCUAAAGUGAAACAUAUUUCAUGGUAUAAUUGAGACAUGAACAGAAUGCUCUGUAAGUUUGGAGUUAAGACAGCUCCUAUGUGACACUUGGAUUACAACUUGAAGGAUGUAUAGGAUUUCAACUGGCAGCAAUGGGGAGACGGGGAGAUGUGGGGGUUGCUCAUUCUAGGCAAACUGUAGGUUCUGAGAAAAUUCUGAGUGGUGAUCUUUAUUAGAGAGGGUGUCAGGGGGAAAGGCAAUGUGGAAGAGUUCCAAGGAGGGUUUUGGGAACAAGGAGUAGCUGGGUCUGGCUGGGGCCAAUGAAGGCCAGAGUAUCAGGCUACAUAAAUUCUGGUAUGUCUGUGUGAGAAACAGUCUCAUUUCCUUAUCGUCUCUCAUUGUAGAUUCUGUUUCCCUCAUUAAAUUCCAAGCUCCUUGAAUCCCCGGGGAAAGAAACUCCUUUAUAGAAAGUCCAGCUUUCUAUCAGCUGCGUGCUGAUGUUUUGUUAAGUCUUCAUAAAUCAUGAGAGCCCUUUCAUAAAUCACGUAGUGCUGCCUUCCUUCUGCAGCUGCACUCCACAGAUACUUCAGGGUAUGCUUCCAUUUGUUCCAGGCAGAACUAAGUAUCAAGACCUGGAUAGUCCCAGACCCCUUCUUUUUAGAGAUGGCACCUUUUCCUGUCCCCUUCAUUUGCCCAAAGGCCUCUGGCCGUCUUCACUCCCCCUUCCCUUUCCCACCCACUACACCUAUGAAAACAGGAAAGACUCUGUUAUCAGUCACUUUAGGCUUGAUGAUGGAUUGAUUAAUUGCACUUUAACUGAAAUCCAGUCACACAGGUAGAACCUGUGCUUUCAACCUUUCAUUUGCAUUUUAAUCCUUUUAUCUUCUAACAUGGAGUGAAAGACUAUUUCCUAUGCUAAAUGAAAUUCCAGACUUUAACUAGUUUACAGGGACAUUUUAGAUGGUGGUGGUAAAGGAGGAGAAAGAAAAUGAGGGAGAAAUUAAGAAUAAGAAAAGGAAAGGAGGCAAGUUAUAAAGCAGGAGAAAAC
rnacentral:lncRNA from 1 species